rnacentral:rRNA from 1 species
CUAGUAACGGCGAGUGAAGCGGCAAUAGCUCAAAUUUGAAAGCUGGCCUUCUGGGUCCGCAUUGUAAUUUGUAGAGGAUGCUUUGGGGCAGCCGCCUGUCUAAGUUCCUUGGAACAGGACGUCAUAGAGGGUGAGAAUCCCGUAUGUGACAGGACAUGGCACCCUAUGUAAAGCUCCUUCGACGAGUCGAGUUGUUUGGGAAUGCAGCUCUAAAUGGGAGGUAAAUUUCUUCUAAAGCUAAAUACUGGCGAGAGACCGAUAGCGCACAAGUAGAGUGAUCGAAAGAUGAAAAGCACUUUGGAAAGAGAGUUAAAAAGCACGUGAAAUUGUUGAAAGGGAAGCGCUUGCAAUCAGACUUGUUCUGGGUGUUCGGCCGGUCUUCUGACCGGUUUACUCGCCCUGUACAGGCCAGCAUCAGUUUCGGCGGCCGGAUAAAGGCAUUGGGAAUGUGGCCAACACUUCGGUGUUGGUGUUAUAGCCCAGUGUGUAAUACGGCCAGCCGGGACUGAGGUCCGCGCUUCGGCUAGGAUGCUGGCGUAAUGGUUGUAAGCGACC